GCUCUUUGACUGUUCCUCGUAUCUGCAAAGUUACAUCCAUUAAUACUUAGACUUGGUAGCGUGGUUCUGUAAGAUUGUUAUGUCGUAAUAAAAUAUAUUUUUUUUAGUGUCGAUGGUUUUCUUUGUAAUAGAGUGUGGCAACUGUGAUACAGAUUACUAUUGAAGUGGCUGUGUGUAUUUAUUGUGUUGGCUUCUAUUUUACGAACGCUUAAAAUGUCGGUUGAGAAUUUGGUAAAUAUGAAUUGUGUUUGCGCAAUCGCAUGCUGCAUAAAGUUCUCCAUGUCUUGUGGAGUAGAAGAUUCCUGAGUCUUGCAGUGUGCAUUAUGUUAAAACAAUAUGAAACGUGUUAUUACGAAGGGUUAUUUGUGCUGUUAAACAUUGAGUCACGGAUUAGAAAAUAAAGAUGCACUGGUGUCGACAUGUUGGAAUUUAGUUACAUUCAUGUGUACUUUUUAUGGAAGCAAAGAUUAAGGGGAACGGUGGUCAUCGGAGUGUGACCAAAGGUAUGAAAACAGCUGAUAGCUACUGGUGUCCUGCGCGUGGUGGUGCGACUGCUGUAGCAGCUCCAGGUACAGUGGUGGUACAUCUGCUGGUCGCAGUAAGAACAAGGAACAAACACCAGUCCCACCGAAAGCAGUUCUUGCUGAGAGCCGGGAAGAUACAGCUGCAUUUAACAUCAUCAAAGGAUGUAACAUACAAUGGACAAAGGUUCUUUUGGAUGGCAGUACUAAGCAAAACGUGCACACAGGGCGUGGCAUAUUAGCCUUUCAUCCUACCAGAACCAUUCUAUCUGAUGCCAAGUUACAUGUUUCAGGCAACUCUUAGAUGGAUGUCCUUGGGGCCCUGAUGAUGGAGGCAGAAUGGAUUUGGUAAACUUGUACCAGACUACACGACACUACAACCCAGAAGAAAAUCAUUUGAAAAACUAUAUUUACUGUGCAGUCUUGGCUCAUCAGCAACAACUACAAAAUUUCAAUUCAUUAAUUUCUCAAUUUGGUCAUUUAUUUGGGAUGAAUUAAAUAAAAAUAUAAUUCUCUAGUUUCAUCUGCAAAAAAGAUACUUUCUGGGUGGAAUAAAUGGCAUAAGUGAGAUCUGAUGUUCUCAAAGUAGCGAACAUUAAGAUGGUUGUCUUGUGGGUGUUGCACUGGUGGAAGUUCACAAGACAAUUCAGAUGUGCUUGCCACCUCCACAAUCAGAGUGAGGGUCCAUUUGCAUAUAACCGACUACUGACCUUCAGAAAAGUAACAGCAGCACACCUGAUAGAGAAUCUCACUUUCUCACUUCAUCAAAAAGAACUCUGUUUCCAAAUCCAAUAUAACUCACCUCCUGGUGCCAUACAAUCGAUGACAUCACCCGUUUCCAUGAUCAGGGACACAGGACCAGCAACUAGGCCCUUGGAAGUGGCGAUGACUCCUAGCUCCCAGGCCGGGGCGUUCAGAAGGCUGCAUAUGUCGCGAACCGCAGCGUCCAGAAGACCCUGGCUGCGUACUAGAGCCACAUUCUGGUAGUACAGCUGUCUGCAGCACAGUGCGUCAUGCAGGUUAUGUUAUACUGCUGUGUUGCGUUUCAUAACAAAGCAAAAGCAAUAAUUUUGUUGUGUCUGUCGGUUUGUCUAUUAUUCUGUCAUUAAUAACAGUGGCCCCUUGUCAAUUUUUUCUCCAACACUAUUUUCCCUGAAAAUUCGGAAUAUGUGCAGAAAUGGGACACAGUCCUUUAUCUUCUUAGAAUUGUUUAUAAUAGAGACAAAGCGAUAAGUCUUAAGUAACUGAAUAAUAUUUAAUUCUAACAAUCAGGCCUACUACAAUUCAGGAAAUUUUGUUAACUGAAAGGAGAAACAUUAAAACUAUAACACAGGAAACCCACAAUACUUUGAAAAUACAAAAAUAAUCUGCUAAAUAAUUAAUUGCAUGAAAGAACAGUCUUCGUCAAUUAUUUUCUCCAGUACACCAAAGAGUAGUUCGGCUGAGAAGCAACGGAAAACAAUAACAAAAUCAACAUAGGUGAUAGGCAUACGUUACUUAAAUUUUCAGUAGUUCGCAAAUCACCUUUUCCCAGAAUGCUUUGCAUUAUGUGAUCACAUCGUAAAUAUUCAUUAGUAGUCUACAAUUACACAUGUAAAGAACAAUUUUACAAACAGCUAAUAAGUUGGGCCAUUACAAUUAAUAGACAAAAUGUUUUAGUAAAAUAAAAGACAAAUACAAAUAAAUAGUCAGGACUUCUGAAGCCGAGGCUCGCUUGAGUAAUAAUUAAAAUGUCAGUUCGUACUGCAAAGAAAAGCCUAUAUGUCACCAUUACAAACAGCAACUUGUUACCGCUGUUUAAGCAAAUAAUGUGCAAUAAGAAUUAAUAAUAAUCUUUUUUUGGCAAAUCAGGACUGGCACAUUAUCUUCAAUCGCUUGAACACUACAGGUCCUUUAUACUCUGUUGUAACAGCACAAUCUCUAAAUACCAACCUCCGAGUGCACGUGGACUGGGUGAAAAGCAGGCGGUGGACUACACCCAGCAGAUGGAUAAUGAGUGCGAACUUGGGGCGACUGCGUCUUGAGCUGAAUUUAAUCUCGACAGUUGAUGCUUGUCCUUCUGGCUUCAGCUUCAACCUGGAGUAGAAACAGAGACGAAGUCUGGUCAACUUUAACUAAACCAGAGUGAAGACGGGAGACUUUCCCUCAGCUACACUUCGCACUAUAUCCAGCAUCACGUCUUCUAUGGCUACCAUCAACUGGCUCCUAUAAACGUUCAUGUCUCAGCUUUAGUAUUCUGAGAAGAGCUUUACAGCAGAUUCAUAUGAUCGCUCUUACGUUUGUAAAUGUAUGUGAUGUCAAGAUGGUCAUGUAGCUACUGUUUCAACUCGUAUGAUCAGAAAGCUAAACUGAAGUUAAAUAGCUAAUAAACACUAGAAUUACUGAAAAUUUAUAUUAGUAUAAGGCACAAUAAAUACUAUUAACUACAA